AGCUGGUCCGAAGGUAGUGAGUUAUCUCCAUUGAUUGUUCACCGUCAGUUACAGGUCGAGCUCCUUGUUCUACUCUUUCAUCCUUCUCACUACUGCACUUGACCAGUUAAAA
rnacentral:Y_RNA from 1 species